UGUUUUCAGGGAUGACCAUUUGGCAAUGAACAACUAAUUUGUGUACUUAUCCUUGGGGAAGACCACUUCUCCCACCCCCAACUUUCCUCAGUUACCUUUAUUCCCUUGUGUAGGGUUGAAGGCUUUUCUUCAUCAAGUCUGGCAUGUUCAUAUUCUGAUAUUCAUGAUCCUCAGUGGCUUGAGUCCAGGAAUACAGAGCCCAUGGAUACAGAGAUCUCACGAUAUUCUAAAUUUGGAUUGUGCAUCAUUUACUUUUCCUGUUGCUGUGACUAAGAACAUGACAGACACUGACUUAGGGGAAGAGGGGCUUGUUCUGGCUCACAGUCUGAAGGGAGAUGGUCGCUCGCAGUGGGGGAAGACAUGUCUGCAUAGAGCUGCUCACGCGCAUCUCAGUGGAACAGGAAGCAGAGGGGAGACAGGAAGUGGGGCUGGCUGUAAUUAAGGCUUGCUGAAUUGAAAAGCCUCACUCAACUUCCCAGAACACAGGCAGAAGGCAGCUAGACUCUGCCAGAAUAUAAGAUGAAUGGCCUCUGGCCCAGCUUCCAGUAGAGUCCUUGGUCCCCUCUGCAACCUCAUGAGCUGGGCCUCCCUCCCUCCACUAUCUGCAUCUAUCUGUGUUUUGGUCUUCCAAACUCCCACCAGAAUGGCCCACUGAGCUCUGCUUAUGGCAUUCUACAGCUGCUGUAACCCAAAGUCCAAACAUGGCCUAAGCUGCACAUGCCCUGGUGUAUUAGAGCAACAGCCCACGUGCUUGGUGCCUGUUCUCUGUGUUCAUUACUUUUCUCAUCACUGUGACUAAAUCCCCAACAAGAAGCAACUGAAAGGAAGAGGGGUUUAUUGGGGCUCACAGUUUGAAAGGAUUCAGUCCAAUAUGGGAGGAAAGAAAUGAUGCCACGUCCAGCGUGGCUUGGCACUGGACACUUGGCAGGGUAGUUAGGGGAUGAAGAAAGUUCAGACACAAUCAUACCGAAAAGCUGGGGUAAGGAGGGUUGUACUUGCUCUGAUGGUGCAACACCAGCGACAUGACAGCCUGGAACCUCAUCCCGUUUAUUGCGGACAGCACAAGGAGCGGGGAGUAGCUAGUCUCAGUGAGAGGUCUCUGUAGGGGAGCAGUCUCAGGCUGUGGACAUCCAGGAGGAAGCCGUCCUCCAUGCUUUCACACACGGACCAGAGGAAGGCUUUGCCAGUUUCCGUGGAUCUGAGGCACUGGUCACAUUCACUUGGGACUUCCUUGUCUCCCCACAGCUCUACAGAGGUAGCAGGAGCAGGUGACACCUGCUUGUUCACAUCCCAGUGGGACCUGAAGUACAGACUGGGCCAGAGCAAGACUAGACUACAGACUUCUGGGCUCGUCCUUCCCCCUAUGACCCACUUCCUUCAGGAAGUGCCCACCUCCUAAAGGUUCUACUUCUCCCAACAGUUCAACCAGCUGAGGAGCAAUUGUUCAAACACACAAGAGUGUGAGGGACAUGCCACACUCAUUUCAUUUUUUUCUAGCACCAACCAGCCUUACACUCAUUUUGAGUUUUACCCCCUGGCCUGUAUAACAGAGCCUAGGGCACUGGAUAAUGGCGAAUCUGUGAAGUCCUGCCGUUGCUGAUACCUGGCUGACUUCAAGCUGGCCCUGUCUCCUAGCCGCAGGCUCUGCAGGGACAGGAGUUCCUUCCACUGGGCCCCAACCUCUCCAGCCUUCAGAGAGUCACAGAGAGCUGCCCUGUUUCCCUUCACAUUAGACAAAGCUAUUUUGGAGUGCUCAGCAUUGCCUUGACGUCAGUCCUGCUGUCCUCUCCAUCCCCUAGGCAGCAGGGGGCCCCUUCCUGCUUGCUGCUCCCUCUUGCCUUUUCCCAGGAGGCUCAGUAGUCUUAAAGGGAUAGAUAGCUCCACAGUCCUCAGAAAAACAGAUGAUUCUGAAGCCACAGGAUGGGUAUUGCUUCCUGGCAGACAUUCAUCUAGCUUCUCUGCUGGGAAAGCCAAGUGUCACGGUAUCCAGCCUCCCCAGGGAAGCAACGUGGUCCCCAGACUGCUGGUGGUAAUUAGGUCCGUGCCUGGAAGGCCAAAGAUUCACUCCCCCUUCCCCAUCCUCAUCCCAGAGUAACCACAGAAGCAGGUCUGGUGAGACAAGGGAGGUUCUCCAAAUGGGCCUGCUCACCAAGGAACUCGGUUCUGCAAAUGUCCAAAGCACUGCAGACAUGAAGCCAUUCCCACGGGGCAUUACUUCAUGUUGUUUAAAACCCCAGACUUAAAUUUAGUCAUGGCCGCCCUCAGAGGCCACAGCCAUGGGGACUGAGAUGGAACUUCUUAAAGACACUGCCGUGCCUAGGGGGAAAAGCUGAAGGUUCCUCGGGUAAUGAAGACUGUGACAAGGCUGACAAACAGUGAGCAAGUGCCCGUUCUAGAUUUCAUUCCAGACCAAACCCUUCUCCAUUUUGUUUUUUGUCUUUUAGUGAUUUAUUUAUUAUGUAUAGUGUUCUGCCUGCAUUUAUGCCCACCCACCAGAAGAGGACAUCAGAUCUCACUAUAGAGGGUUGUGGGCCACCAUGUGGGUGCUGGGAAUUGAACUUAAGACCUCUAGAAGAGCAGCUAGUGCUUUUAACCUCUGAGCCAUCUCUCCAGCUCCCACAUCUCCACUUUGUAAGAGGAGAAAACAGGGGCUCAGAGGGACCCACCACUUGACUAUAGCUUUUUUUUUUUUUUCGAGACAGAGUUUCUCUGUGUAGCUUUGCGCCCUUCCUGGAUCUCGCUCUGUAGACCAGGCUGGCCCCGAACUCACAGAGAUCCGCCUGGCUCUGCCUCCCGAGUGCUGGGACUAAAGGCAUGCGCCACCACUGCCCGGCAAGGACUAUAGUUUUUACUGAAUGGAGUUAGAGCCAUGUGUAGCUGUAAGUUUCUCCAGUCCCAUGUUUCUCCAGUCCUGCCGGGCCCAUGGUCCCGAAGCUGCUUAUAAAAUAAUCAUUCAGAGGCUUAAUAGUAAUUGCAAAUUAUAUGACCUAUGGCUCAGGUUUCUUGCUAGCUAGCUCUUAUAACUUAACUCAACCCAUAACUAUUAAUCUAUGUAUCACCAUGUGUUCCGUGGCUUUACCUGUGUCCUAUUACAUGUUGCUCCUUGAAUGGCGAUUUGGUGUCUCCCCUGACUCUGCCCUUCUCUCUGUAUCUCUGCUUGGAUUUCCCACCUGCCUGUAAGCUUUCUUGCUAUAGUCCAAAACAGCUUUAUUUAUUAUCCAAUGGGAGCCACACAUAUUCACAGCAUACAGAAAGACAUCCCACAGCAGCCUUAUUGUCCAGAAUCUUCUCCGGUGAAUGGCUGCAGAUCCAAGCUAGUCAGCAGGUGAGGGCAGCAGGAUGUGGAGGGAGAAAGGACAGCAGUCAUCACCCCUUGAGGCCAGCCUUACAGUGACAACGAGACACAGACAAGGCAGAGUGGCCAGAGCCUUUGGUGCUGUCUGCCUCAGGUACAGCUCUUCUCUCCAAGACGCUUGCAGCAGCUGUUGAGACCAAAGAUCCCCAGAUGUUCCCUCACAAGCUCCCCUUUGGAAAACUUCUUGGUCUCCAGGAGUAACUGGCUGGAGUCACCAUGGCUCCUCCAUUCCCUGCCUCAGGCCUUCUCUCACCCAGGUAAAGCCAAUUUUCGAUAACAAAUUCCUUAUUAACACAUGCUUCUUGGUCCUCAUCAGUUGAAGCCUAGAUGCCUCCUUGACUCCAGGCACACCUACUAAGAGAUGGAGAGUCCUUGGGGCCAACCCACUUCUUCACACAACAUUGACCAAAGUGUCAAAAGAUAAGGAGAAAUUGCGUGUGUGGUACUGUAGUAGACUACAGACGACACCAAAUGAAGAGAAUACAGCUUUGUCUUCAAGGGAGCUUUUGUCUAUUUGAGAGAUAAAAAUCAAGAGAUAAAACCCUUUGAGAACACACAUACACUCAGGUUACCAGCAGAAGUAACACCAGUUAGUAUCCAGUCAGACCCCGGUGUCUGCUGGUUCCACAUCCAGGGACUCAGCCAAGUGCAUGUGGAAAAUAAUGACAAUCACACCUGCAGUGAGCAUGUGUGGGCUUUUCUUCACUGUUCCCUAAAUGACACCACACAGGUGUUUCCAUAGCACCGACAUUAUGGUUUAAAGUGUGUAGUAAGAUCUACCUAGGUUAUACACAAAUCCUGUGGCAUUUGAUGUGAAGGACUUGAGCAUCUGAAGAUGUGGGUAGUCACAGGAGGAGGAAUUUUGCUGCCGAGGGAUGACUGUAGCUGAAUGGGCUUCUGCAUAAAGCAUAUUGCCAAGCCCAGGAGGCUGCGAAGGCAAGCGGGCUCGGCCCAGUAUGGGUCCAGCAAGGAGAGCAGCUAUGCAAAUGUGCUCGCGGAGUACGGUGGACAGUCGCUGUGCACGUGUGGCUGGCAUUCAGGCCCCCUUCUUCCAGAAACUUGUUAAUUUGUGGAAGCACCCCUCGCUUAGACACAGGAAGCACUUCACACGUGGUGCAGUCAGCCAGUUCUGCGUUAGCCUUCUGGAGCUCUGAGGAAAAGGCUUCUUUGUCACGGCGUUUGCAGCCCAAGUAAGAUGUGAGCUUGGAGUCUCCAGGGGUUGCCACCUAGAAAGAGGCUGGCCCUGGGUGGCUGGGGAGACCUGGGCAGAGAUGGAGAGAACUGGCUGCUCGCUGUUCUUAAUGCCAGUUCUGGGAGGAACUGAGCUCCACCAGGCCAGAAGAUCAGAACCUCCCCGUGGUCCCAGAGUCCUCUGAGCAUCCUUCCACGUCUGCCAGCAUGGAACUGGUCCACAGCAGAAGGGUUCUCUGAUAAUUUUUGGCAUCUCUCAGAUGCUGACCAAGGGAUUUUCAGGGGUCGGGGAGGAAGAUACAUGUAAUGUAAGUCAGUGCUACCACCAAGAUGGUGGGUGGGCAGAGAGCUAGAACCCAGGUCCUUCAGGAGGGCAGCCGCAAGAGCAGAGCCUCAAAGCUCUGUGUGGUAAAAGCUUAGUCUCCAGCAGAUAGGGGAACCUUCAGGAGAACUAGCGGAGGUCUUCCAGUCACUGAGCGUGCCCUGAAAGGGGCUGUGAGGAGCCCUUGGGUUUUUCCCCCUAUUCUUUCUUGCUUGCUUCCUGGUCAUCAGAUGAGCAGUUUUGCUCCAGCAUACACUACAUACAAUGAUGAGUUGACUUGCUACAAGCCCAAAGCAAUGAGACCAGCUGAUCAGGGGCUGAAGCCUCCAAAACCAUGAGGCCCAGACAACAAUUUUUUUCUUUAUAAGUUGAUUAUCUCAAGUAUUGUGUUACAGUAAUGGAGAGUGAACACCGUGUCUACAGACAGAUGAACAGAUAAGCUGCGGUAUAACUGUACACCAUACAAUAUUAGUCAGCCAUAAAGAAAGAAAUAUCGUCAUUCAUUGCAACAUAAAUGUAGGUCCUGGGAAGACAUUAUGUUAAUGAAACAUUAUGUCAGGCACCAAAAGACAAAUGCUACAAGUCUUCGCUUACAUGUGAAAACGAAGUCAGCUGAUCUCAUUGACUGUAGUAGUUACCAAGCCUGGAAAUAAAGGGGGGAGGAAGGGAUGGGAGGAGGGUGGUUGACCAGUACAAGUGUGCAGUUAGGUCCAAGGAACCCCUUUUAAUGUUCUGUAGGUCAGGAGAGACUUGCACUUGAUAUCAAUUAGUUGUGUGUAAUAAAAGAGCUGAAGGGAGAAUUCUAAACAUGCCCAAUACAAAGAAAUGAUUUGUAGUGGAGGUGAUGGGCACACCCAGUUCCCCAGUCAGAUUGUCACUUGUGUGCGUGUGUCAAAACACUACUCUGUACCCUGCACAUAUGUGUAACCAUUAUGUGUCAAUUUUUAAAAGCAGAGGAAACAAUGCCUACUCUAGGGAAUUGAUGGCUAAGAGGAAUGGAAUCUUCUAGUUUUCCUGUCUCCUUGGCAGCUGCUGUCACCAACAUGCCAUCAACACUGUCUUUACCCAUUCCCAGAAGUGUCCCCCUGUCGGACAUAUUUCUUAGCUGCCUCCCCAAGCCUUCUAGGGCCCAGGAGGGCGUUGGCCACUGUGUUAACUUCCUGGCCUCACAGGCUCCUGAGCAGCUCUUGGGCAGCCACUACAUAGGCAGUACCAAACUGCUGCCUGGCUAAUGGUAACAGGCUUUUUGGUGGGAGACAUCAGUGUCUCCUGAACAUCCAACCUUCCUUGAACGGGCUCAUUUCAACAGCAGCUCAAACUUACUGAAGACAGGGGGCCCUGCAAUGAGCUGAGCCCAGAGCAAAAUCACUGUACCCCAGCCACCCCAGGGACACAGCCAGCAGUGUCCUUCCAUUCCUGAUCUCCUCAUCAUUCAGCACCACGGACACCCCAGAAUUCUAUCCUUGCCAACUCUACUGUCCCAUCACUGCUACACCUCUUGGUGGUAUCACACCGGCGCAGACACUCAGCAGACAUUUCCUGCAGGUCGGCCACGAACGGGAAACGGGGAGGUGUGAUGGCAGCACCUGACCCGCUGAAGCUCCAAGGGACAAAUCAAGUCAUCCAGAACCAAGAGCUCGCACAAACUCUGCUGAGCAUUAGGGAGGAAAAGAGUCAUGUGGCAGGAAGGGGGAAACAGCUGACCUAGUCUGGGUGGCAGUGGGUCAUCAGGCCAGCAGGUCUGGGUGGAGCCUUAGGGAAGAUAUUUAAACAGGGAGCCCCAUGAUCUGGUUUUCAGAGUCCAAAUGUGACAGGGCAAGACAGUGCAGGGGUUCCUCCAUCUUGUAUUCUUGCUGAAGCCAUUCCAGGUGUAACUAGAAUCUGGUCUCCUUGAUUGAGAAUCCUGAGGAGUAUUACCCAACUCUAUUCUAGGAAUCCAAGGUCAAGAUUCUCCAGCUAACUUAGCUUCUGUUAGACUGCUUGCACACACACACAUCCCCUUGUAGCUGCUGAGUGAGAUACCAGCAUGUGGUUCGGCUUCUGGAAACACCUAACCUUAAACACUUGUCUCUACACUUGGGUCCCAAAUACCCGAGUGCAGUUCCAGCCAGCUGGAAUAAAGACUUUCGGUUAGCUAUAGACUGUCUGAGUGGUCAUUUCUGGUGGGCUCCCUGUAACAAAAGGUCUCACUGGCUUCCCUACCAGAGACGGUGGAGGUAAGGUGAACUCUGGCUCCUGUGGGGACGUGGGAGGCUAUGACAGCAGCCAUGAAGAGCAGGCAAGGUUAGCAGCAGAAGUGGCUGCUGUGGGUGGCUCCAGCUAUGUUAAAAGAUUAAAAGAAGCUGGUGCAGUUACGGGGAACAACGGGCAGAUCCAGGGUCUGCCAGCGUCUGGCUUCUGUGCCUGGAGCUGGUGGUACCUCUGUGACAGGGUGUCCUAGAGGACAGGUACCGAAACGAGGCAUCACAGAGGGCAAGGGCAGGGGAUUCCAUAUCCCAAAGCCUUUCUACCAGCAGGCAGCUUUCUGUGCUAAAGCCCAGUGCCUCUGCUUUUGACCAAACACUUCACGAACUCAAGGACCAGGUCAAAUGCCUUUCUUGGGCCACUUGGACACAUGAAGAGGAAGGGCAGGGCUGGCAGCCUGAGUCAGUCUCGUGUCAGGACCCUGGCGAUGGAGUCUGGGACAGAACAGGCCCCUGGGCCUCUUUGCUUCUCUUCCAACACUGGACAGGGUUUCUCUGUGUAGCCCUGGAUGUCCUGGAACUCACUCUGUAGACCAGGCUGGCCUCGAACUCACAGAGAGCUGCCUGCCUCUGACUCUUGAGUGCUGGGAUUAAAGGCGUGCACCACCACUGCCCGGCAAGAGGUCAAUUCUGGGUAUCAUUCCUCAGUGCUGGAACCCGACAUCAUCGUGCCUGGCCUUUCUAAUGUGGAUUCCAGGGAUUCAGCCUUCACGGUUGCAAGG